GAUGAACGCUGGCGGCGUGCCUAAUACAUGCAAGUCGAGCGAACGGACGAGAAGCUUGCUUCUCUGAUGUUAGCGGCGGACGGGUGAGUAACACGUGGAUAACCGACCUAUAAGACUGGGAUAACUUCGGGAAACCGUAGCUAAUACCGGAUAAGAUUUUGAACCGCAUGGUUCAAAAGUGAAAGACGGUCUUGCUGUCACUUAUAGAUGGAUCCGCGCUGCAUUAGCUAGUUGGUAAGGUAACGGCUUACCAAGGCAACGAUGCAUAGCCGACCUGAGAGGGUGAUCGGCCACACUGGAACUGAGACACGGUCCAGACUCCUACGGGAGGCAGCAGUAGGGAAUCUUCCGCAAUGGGCGAAAGCCUGACGGAGCAACGCCGCGUGAGUGAUGAAGGUCUUCGGAUCGUAAAACUCUGUUAUUAGGGAAGAACAUAUGUGUAAGUAACUGUGCACAUCUUGACGGUACCUAAUCAGAAAGCCACGGCUAACUACGUG
rnacentral:rRNA from 1 species